GACGAACGCUGGCGGCGUGCCUAAUACAUGCAAGUUGAGCGCUGAAGGUUGGUACUUGUACCAACUGGAUGAGCAGCGAACGGGUGAGUAACGCGUGGGGAAUCUGCCUUUGAGCGGGGGACAACAUUUGGAAACGAAUGCUAAUACCGCAUAAAAACUUUAAACACAAGUUUUAAGUUUGAAAGAUGCAAUUGCAUCACUCAAAGAUGAUCCCGCGUUGUAUUAGCUAGUUGGUGAGGUAAAGGCUCACCAAGGCGAUGAUACGUAGCCGACCUGAGAGGGUGAUCGGCCACAUUGGGACUGAGACACGGCCCAAACGCCUACGGGAGGCAGCAGUAGGGAAUCUUCGGCAAUGGACGAAAGUCUGACCGAGCAACGCCGCGUGAGUGAAGAAGGUUUUCGGAUCGUAAAACUCUGUUGGUAGAGAAGAACGUUGGUGAGAGUGGAAAGCUCAUCAAGUGACGGUAACUACCCAGAAAGGGACGGCUAACUACGUG
rnacentral:rRNA from 1 species